rnacentral:rRNA from 1 species
CUGAAACCGUGUACGUACAAGCAGUGGGAGCACGCUUAGGCGUGUGACUGCGUACCUUUUGUAUAAUGGGUCAGCGACUUAUAUUCUGUAGCAAGGUUAACCGAAUAGGGGAGCCGAAGGGAAACCGAGUCUUAACUGGGCGUUAAGUUGCAGGGUAUAGACCCGAAACCCGGUGAUCUAGCCAUGGGCAGGUUGAAGGUUGGGUAACACUAACUGGAGGACCGAACCGACUAAUGUUGAAAAAUUAGCGGAUGACUUGUGGCUGGGGGUGAAAGGCCAAUCAAACCGGGAGAUAGCUGGUUCUCCCCGAAAGCUAUUUAGGUAGCGCCUCGUGAAUUCAUCUCCGGGGGUAGAGCACUGUUUCGGCAAGGGGGUCAUCCCGACUUACCAACCCGAUGCAAACUGCGAAUACCGGAGAAUGUUAUCACGGGAGACACACGGCGGGUGCUAACGUCCGUCGUGAAGAGGGAAACAACCCAGACCGCCAGCUAAGGUCCCAAAGUCAUGGUUAAGUGGGAAACGAUGUGGGAAGGCCCAGACAGCCAGGAUGUUGGCUUAGAAGCAGCCAUCAUUUAAAGAAAGCGUAAUAGCUCACUGGUCGAGUCGGCCUGCGCGGAAGAUGUAACGGGGCUAAACCAUGCACCGAAGCUGCGGCAGCGACGCUGAUGCGUUGUUGGGUAGGGGAGCGUUCUGUAAGCCUGUGAAGGUGUGCUGUGAGGCAUGCUGGAGGUAUCAGAAGUGCGAAUGCUGACAUAAGUAACGAUAAAGCGGGUGAAAAGCCCGCUCGCCGGAAGACCAAGGGUUCCUGUCCAACGUUAAUCGGGGCAGGGUGAGUCGACCCCUAAGGCGAGGCCGAAAGGCGUAGUCGAUGGGAAACAGGUUAAUAUUCCUGUACUUGGUGUUACUGCGAAGGGGGGACGGAGAAGGCUAUGUUGGCCGGGCGACGGUUGUCCCGGUUUAAGCGUGUAGGCUGGUUUUCCAGGCAAAUCCGGAAAAUCAAGGCUGAGGCGUGAUGACGAGGCACUACGGUGCUGAAGCAACAAAUGCCCUGCUUCCAGGAAAAGCCUCUAAGCAUCAGGUAACAUCAAAUCGUACCCCAAACCGACACAGGUGGUCAGGUAGAGAAUACCAAGGCGCUUGAGAGAACUCGGGUGAAGGAACUAGGCAAAAUGGUGCCGUAACUUCGGGAGAAGGCACGCUGAUAUGUAGGUGAAGCGACUUGCUC